rnacentral:rRNA from 1 species
AUGGAGUUAGGAUGUUGCAACUUGUUCUUUGGAUCAGGUUCACUAGAGCCAUGGGACUAUUUUUUCCACCUUCAAAAGUUGGAAAUUGAUAGAUGCGAUAUGCUCGUCCACUGGCCAGAGAAAGUGUUCCAAAGCUUGGUAUCCUUGAGAAGAUUAGUGAUUAAAAACUGCAAAAAUUUGACUGGAUACACACAAGCUCCUCUUGAGCCAUCAGAAACCGAAAGGAUUCAACACCUGCCAGGUCUGGAGUCUCUUCUGUUAGAAGAUUGUGCAAGUUUGGUAGAGAUGUUCAAUGUCCCGGCAUCUCUCAAGGAAAUGAAUAUUUAUUUGUGUCGUAAGCUUGAGUCCUUGUUCGGCAAGCAGCAGGGACUAUCGGAGUUAGUUGAAGGGUCUUCUUGCAGUGAGGCAAUUGUGCCCACAGCUAUAUCAGGGUUGCCAUCCUCGCCAAUGAAUCACUUCUAUCCAUGCCUUGAAUCUCUGUGGAUACUUUAUUGUGAAAGUUUAUCAGCAGUUCUACGUCUUCCUCCAUCCUUAAAAACCAUAUAUAUGGCUCACAGUAGUAUUCUAGUCCUAUCAUGUCAGCUGGAUGGGUUCCAGAAACAACAAGAAGCUACUUCGAUAAAUGUACCAGAGUCAUCAUCAUCAUCAUCAUCAUCAUCAGAGCAUUCACUUACUCCUUGUCUCGAGUCUCUAGUAAUAUUGUCCUGUGCUGGCAUGUUGGCGGGCAUUCUCCGUCUACCCAUGUCCCUCAAGAGACUGGACAUUCGGAGGACCAAUGGGUUGAUGUCGCUGGAGUCUCUGCACCCCGCAUCGCUGGAAGACCUUCAGCUUGUUAGCUGCAGUACCCUGGCAUCCCUACCGAAUGAACUACAAGCAUACAAAUUUCUCCAAGAGCUUGCAAUUAAAGGCUGUCCUGCUGUAAAGAAGCUCCCCAGAUGCCUUGAGCGGCAACUGGGCAGCAUCAAACGCAAACGACUAGAUGCCCAUUAUGAAGUAAUGGCAUUUAAACGGAAGACAUGGAAGGAAAUACCAAGAAUAGUCAGUGAGUGGAGGAUGGCCGCUCUAGAAACGAAGGAAAGCCAGCCAUUCAUGUUGAUGUAA